rnacentral:rRNA from 1 species
UACAGAGGUCUCAAGCGUUGUUCGGAAUCACUGGGCGUAAAGGGUGCGUAGGCGGCGCGGAAAGUCAGGGGUGAAAUCCCGGAGCUCAACUCCGGAACUGCCUUUGAUACUCCCGUGCUUGAGUGCUGGAGAGGAGUCCGGAAUUCACGGUGGAGCAGUGAAAUGCGUGGAUAUCGUGAGGAACACUAGUGGCGAAGGCGGCCUUCUGGACCAAUACUGACGCUCAUGCACGAAAGCGUGGGGAGCAAACAGG